UUGCUGACAAGUGAAGAUGCCAGACUUUUGUGCAGCCUACGGAUGCGUUAAUCUGCGAACUCUCGAAACGAGAACCCGUGGGAUCACCUUUCACCUGUUUCCCAAAGCCAGAGCGAUGAGGAUAAAGUAGGAAAUUGCCCUAAGAAGGGACGGUUUUGCUGCCUCUGACAGGACACUGCUCUGCAGUGACCACUUCAGGAGUGAGAACUUUGACAGGAUGGGGCAGAAUGUCUGGCUUAAAGAUGGUGUUGUGCCAACCCUUUUCAACUUUCCAGCUCAUCUUCAAAGUUCUGUAGCAACAAGAAGCACAACCACAGCUAAAAGAGCGGAAGACAACCUUGCAAUGGACUUGAUGCCUGGUGUUGGAGCUACUGGAGAGAGGAGAUUGAGCCGCAAGCGGCAGGCCACUGACGACCACUUGUAUGCAUUGCCUGUUUGCCCUACGGCUAUGAAGGCCAAACUUGAAGAAGCCUCAGCGAGAGUGAGGAAACAGGGCCAAGAACAACAUGCAGGCUGUUCUGGAGGAACUGAAGGAGAAAAACCUCAUCAACGAAGAGCUGAAAGACAAGCUUGAAUGCUAUGACUUUUUCUAAUUGAAUUUCCGAUCUUCCGGUUCAUCUCCUGUCGAGGCAAGGCGUAGAGUACACCAAGGCCCAGAGAGAUCUUGCCCUUACGCUCCAUCUGCAUGGUCCAAAUGCAUAUCACUACCUGAGAGAUACUCUGCACAUUGACCUGCCACAUCCCAGUUCACUGCAUUCAAGGUGGCUGAGCUCUCUUGAUGCCAGACCUGGUCUCAAUAAAAUGAUGUUGGACAUGCUGGAAAGACGGCGUCAGGAAGAUGAGGUCAAAUACGGAUUUGUCACUCUGAUGCUGGAUGCCAUGUACAUCAAAAAACACAUCCAACAUGAUCCUCAGACACAAAUAAUGUUUGGAUAAGUGGACAUGGGGGAUCGACUGAAUGAGACUGACAUAGCUUCUGUGGUUCUUGUGUUUAUGGUGGUUGGGCUUCAAGGUUAUUGGAAAGCUCCAAUUGCAUAUUAUUUGACCAAGUCCCUCACACCAGAAUCACAGAAAGUGUUAGUAGAACAUGCAUUAGGCAAGGCAAGGCAAGGCAACUUUAUUUAUAUAGCACUUUUCAUACACAAGGCAGAC